UUUCCGUAGGUGAACCUGCGGAAGGAUCAUUCAUAAUAAGUGUUUUAUGGCACUUUUUUAAAUCCAUAUCCACCUUGUGUGCAAUGUCAGGGUUGAUUUUUCUCUCGAGAGGAUAAGCCCCAAACAUCAACUAUAUCUCAACUCUUUGUCUGAAAAAUAUUAUGAAUAAAACAAUUCAAAAUACAACUUUCAACAACGGAUCUCUUGGCUCUC
rnacentral:misc_RNA from 1 species